rnacentral:lncRNA from 1 species
AACAAAUCAUCGGUGAGGAGUAUAGAGUGAGAUGUUCAUUUUAAACAUUAUCAGAGACAAAAUCGACGAAUAUGAGGACAGGCGUGCACUGAAACAUGCGAGGUUGAAACCAAAAUAGAGCAUAGGAGAGAGGGAUACGUUGCCAAAGCCGUCCCUGGUCGAGAUUGAUGAUCGCCCAAAGGAGAGAGAUCGUAAUGGACAGUAACGCUGAGACCUAGAACCGUCAAAAGGG